rnacentral:rRNA from 1 species
GGUUAAGCGACUAAGCGUACACGGUGGAUGCCCUGGCAGUCAGAGGCGAUGAAGGACGUGCUAAUCUGCGAAAAGCGCCGGCGAGGUGAUAUGAACCYUUGACCCGGCGAUGUCCGAAUGGGGAAACCCAGUGCAAUCCGUUGCACUAUCGUUAACUGAAUACAUAGGUUAACGAGGCGAACCGGGGGAACUGAAACAUCUAAGUACCCCGAGGAAAAGAAAUCAACCGAGAUUCCCCCAGUAGCGGCGAGCGAACGGGGAGCAGCCCGG